UACAGAGGUCCCAAGCGUUGUUCGGAUUCAUUGGGCGUAAAGGGUGCGUAGGCGGCGCGGUAAGUCGGGUGUGAAAUCUCGGAGCUUAACUCCGAAACUGCAUUCGAUACUGCCGUGCUUGAGGACUGGAGAGGAGACUGGAAUUUACGGUGUAGCGGUGAAAUGCGUAGAUAUCGUAAGGAAGACCAGUGGCGAAGGCGGGUCUCUGGCCCGAUACUGACGCUGAGGCACGAAAGCGUGGGGAGCAAACAGG
rnacentral:rRNA from 1 species